GCAAUCAUGUGGAGGCGUCAGCAGC
rnacentral:piRNA from 1 species